rnacentral:rRNA from 1 species
AAUGAACGCUGGCGGCGUGCCUAACACAUGCAAGUCGAACGAGAAAGGGGCUUCGGCUCCGAGUAAAGUGGCGCACGGGUGAGUAACACGUGGGUAACCUGCCUCUAAGAUUGGGAUAACUCGUCGAAAGAUGAGCUAAUACCGGAUAAGACCACAGUUCCCGCGGGAACAGGGGUCAAAGGUAGCCUCUGCUUGCAAGCUAUCACUUAGAGAUGGGCCUGCGCACCAUUAGCUAGUUGGUAGGGUAACGGCCUACCAAGGCAAAGAUGGUUAGCUGGUCUGAGAGGAUGAUCAGCCACACUGGAACUGAGACACGGUCCAGACUCCUACGGGAGGCAGCAGUGGGGAAUAUUGCGCAAUGGGCGAAAGCUUGACGCAGCAACGCCGCGUGAGUGAUGAAGGCCUUCGGGUCGUAAAGCUCUGUCGGGAGGAACGAAUGCUCCCAAGGUUAACAGCCUCGGGAGGUGACGGUACCUUCAAAGGAAGCACCGGCUAACUCUGUGCCAGCCGCCGCCGUAAAAC